rnacentral:rRNA from 1 species
GACGAACGCUGGCGGCGUGCUUAACACAUGCAAGUCGAACGGAAAGGCCCUGCUUUUGUGGGGUGCUCGAGUGGCGAACGGGUGAGUAACACGCGAGUAACCUGCCCUUGACUUUGGGAUAACUCCAGGAAACUGGGGCUAAUACCGCAUAGGAGCUCCUGCUGCAUGGUGGGGGUUGGAAAGUUUCGGCGGUUGGGGAUGGUCUCGCGGCUUAUCAGCUUGUUGGUGGGGUAGUGGCUUACCAAGGCUUUGACGGGUAGCCGGCCUGAGAGGGUGACCGGCCACAUUGGGCCUGAGAUACGGCCCAGACUCCUACGGGAGGCAGCAGUGGGGAAUAUUGCACAAUGGGCGGAAGCCUGAUGCAGCAACGCCGCGUGCGGGAUGACGGCCUUCGGGUUGUAAACCGCUUUCGCCUGUGACGAGGCGUGAGUGACGGUAAUGGGUAAAGAAGCACCGGCUAACUACGUG